GACGCAAUUGAGUGUUGUGCGCGGUGCAAGAAGUGUUGAGCAUGAAAUCGAGCUUUUUUUGGCUGGAGGAAGGACAACGCCUUCUGAUCCGAGAGAGCUUAUUUUCUAUUUGAAAUUUUGGUAAGAGUAGUUUAUUACUCUAAAUCCUGAUAUUUGAAAUAAUGUAGUGAUUUGGAUGCUUUGACUGAGUAGAUGAUAUGAUAUUGUGUGGAAAUUUGUUAUUUUGAGAAUAUCUUAGACUGAUGAUAUUGAAAAAUUUGGAACGCAUUAUGUAUAUGACGAUGUCGUAAGAUAAGCUUGAAAUACGGUGAAACAAAGAGCGGUUCAUGGUUCUUAGAUGUCCCAUGCGUGGAGAGGAAGAGGAGGAUUUGCUUGGGGCUGAUAGGGUUGACAACCCGUUAGGCCCAGAUCCGAAAAGUUCUAGUAGCCCGAGUGAGACCAAGCCUAGUAAGUCUCUAAUGGGCUUGAAUGGGUAGGAAAAAAAGACCUUAAAAGGGAACCCAAGUUAUGAUUGGGCCAAAUUAGAAGGAAAUAAUUAACAGAUUAAAAUUAUAUACAAAAAAGAGAGAGGGAGUUAAAAUCCUUGGUGGACCAUAUGAAGGGUUAUUAGGGAAAUUAAAUACUGGUGGGCCAAGUUUCUUUAAAUGGGUUAGAAGUGAAGAAUUUUGGGUAGAAUUAAGG
rnacentral:lncRNA from 1 species